UGCUCCAGGAGGGGUUUGAACCCACGACCGUCGCGUU
rnacentral:tRNA from 1 species